UACGGAGGGUGCAAGCGUUAUCCGGAUUUACUGGGUUUAAAGGGUGUGUAGGCGGACUUUUAAGUCAGCGGUGAAAUCUCCGGGCUCAACCCGGAAACUGCCAUUGAUACUAUUAGCCUUGAAUAUUGUUGAGGUAGGCGGAACGGGUCAUGUAGCGGUGAAAUGCAUAGAUAUGACCCGGAACACCGAUUGCGAAGGCAGCCUACUAAGCAAUUAUUGACGCUGAGGCACGAAAGCGUGGGGAUCAAACAGG
rnacentral:rRNA from 1 species